UCCUUGAUGAUUCAGUGGCUAAGACUCCACACUCCCAAUGCAGGGGACCCAGGUUCAAGCCCUGGUCAAGGAA
rfam:Ovis aries breed Texel chromosome 3, whole genome shotgun sequence.